UCGGACAUGGUGUACGGUACACGUCCUUUCCAACUAUUGCCGUAAUCGUCUUAUCAAGAGGCAGUACGGGGUUCGAUUCCCCGUGUCUGAA